GGGGAUUUAGCUCAAAUUGGUAGAGCGCUCGCUUCGCAUGUGAGAGGCACGGGGAUCGAUACCCCGAAUCUCCA